GAUGAACGCUGGCGGCGUGCCUAAUACAUGCAAGUCGAGCGAACGGACGAGAAGCUUGCUUUUCUGAUGUUAGCGGCGGACGGGUGAGUAACACGUGGAUAACCUACCUAUAAGACUGGGAUAACUUCGGGAAACCGGAGCUAAUACCGGAUAAUAUUUUGAACCGCAUGGUUCAAAAGUGAAAGACGGUCUUGCUGUCACUUAUAGAUGGAUCCGCGCUGCAUUAGCUAGUUGGUAAGGUAACGGCUUACCAAGGCAACGAUGCAUAGCCGACCUGAGAGGGGGCUCGGCCACACUGGAACUGAGACACGGUCCAGACUCCUACGGGAGGCAGCAGUAGGAAAUCUUCCGCAAUGGGCGAAAGCCUGACGGAGCAACGCCGCGUGAGUGAUGAAGGUCUUCGGAUCGUAAAACUCUGUUAUUAGGGAAGAACAUAUGUGUAAGUAACUGUGCACAUCUUGACGGUACCUAAUCAGAAAGCCACGGCUAACUACGU
rnacentral:rRNA from 1 species